rnacentral:rRNA from 1 species
AACGUAGGAGACAAACGUUAUCCGGAGUUACUGGGCGUAAAGGGCGUGUAGGCGGACUGUUAAGUCUGCCGUGAAAGCCCCGGGCUCAACCUGGGAAUGGCGGUGGAUACUGGCGGACUAGAGUGCGGUAGAGGGUGGUGGAAUUCCCGGUGUAGCAGUGAAAUGCGUAGAGAUCGGGAGGAACAUCUGUGGCGAAGGCGGCCACCUGGACCAGCACUGACACUGAGGCACGAAAGCGUGGGGAGCAAACAUG